rnacentral:rRNA from 1 species
UAAUACGAAGGGGGCUAGCGUUGUUCGGAAUUACUGGGCGUAAAGCGUAUGCAGGCGGAUCUUUAAGUCAGGGGUGAAAUCCCGAGGCUCAACCUCGGAACUGCCUUUGAUACUGGAGAUCUUGAGUCCGGGAGAGGUUAGUGGAACUGCGAGUGUAGAGGUGAAAUUCGUAGAUAUUCGCAAGAACACCAGUGGCGAAGGCGGCUAACUGGCCCGGUACUGACGCUGAGAUACGAAAGCGUGGGGAGCAAACAGG